UUGGAGGGCAAGUCUGGUGCCAGCAGCCGCGGUAAUUCCAGCUCCAAUAGCGUAUAUUAAAGUUGUUGCAGUUAAAAAGCUCGUAGUUGAAUUUCGGGAUUGACGUGAUGGUCAUGCCUUAAGGGGUAUGAACUGUCACUGUUGAUUUCUCACCUUCUGGAGAAACUUGAUGUCCUUUAUUGGGUGUCUUGCGGAUCCACGACCUUUACCUUGAAAAAAUUAGAGUGUUUAAAGCAGGCAUUUUUGCUCGAAUACAUUAGCAUGGAAUAAUAGAAUAGGACGGCAUGGCUCUAUUUUGUUGGUUUCUAGGAUCACCGUAAUGAUUAAUAGGGAUAGUUGGGGGCAUUAGUAUUCAACUGUCAGAGGUGAAAUUCUUGGAUUUAUUGAAGACUAACUACUGCGAAAGCAUUUGCCAAGGAUGUUUUCAUUAAUCAAGAACGAAAGUUAGGGGAUCGAAGACGAUCAGAUACCGUCGUAGUCUUAACCAUAAACCAUGCCGACUAGGAAUCAGACGAUGUUAAUUUUUUAAUGACUCGUUUGGCACCUUACGGGAAACCAAAGUGUUUGGGUUC
rnacentral:rRNA from 1 species